AGAAGAAUCACUAAUGGACGAACUGCAACUCGGCUUUGCUGGAGUGAAAAGCUCGUCGCUGACGAGAAGCAGCCGUGGUGCCGUGAGAUGACAGAUGCUGAGGUGCCCAAUGAGAACAGGCCCUUCUGAUGCCCCUGCCGGACCGAGCCGGACCGAGCCGGACCUGGCGCAGCCUCUGCGGCACGCCAGACACCGGCGUGCCGGACGCCAUCCUGCCCCCGGCACCCGCCAUCGCAUUUCACACGCCGGCUGACCAAAAAAGGGAGCGCUUUCAGAGAGCCGAAAUCACCACACGGAGACGGGAGAGCGUUGAAGGGGCGCCUUAACAUCCGUGCUGGGGACAUCUCAGAGCCACCCUGUCACAAAAAUAAAGACAAAACUAUGCAAUAACCUGGAAAA